UCAUCGUUUUAGCAUGUACACAAAUUAACAUGGGACUACAGUUCAGUUUCUCGUGUUGAUUGCAUGACAAUCUUUUCUAUUAUUGAAAUCAUCCAACAACAUCCUGUAUUUGCUUGAAGCUAAAAUCCAAUUCUUAUACUUCAUUUUUAAGUAGUAGUGGAUUCCCUAAUUUACUAGUUGCAGAUUAUCUUGUCGGACUUGGACUGACUUGGAAGAAUGAACAAGUUUUAAUGCCAAUUAUAAUGACUUGCCAUUAGGUUGCCGGAAAAGUUGGACUAUCUAAAUGGGGGCAAUGUUACAAUUUGAUACUAUCAUGAUUUAAAAGCCAUCUUAUUGGUGCCUCUCUUUUUUCCCCUUUUUGCACAGGAUGAGUUUACUGCUGCAAUCACAUACUACCACAAGGCUUUAUGGCUGAAACCAGAUGAUCAAUUUUGCACUGAAAUGUUGAGCUUGGCACUUGUAGAAGAAGGUCGUCCAGGCACAGACCCCAAAAUUGAAUUCCGCUGAAAUGAGUCAUUUUUAAUGACACUAUUUAUACUCAUUUGUUCUUGUUGAAAUGUAUGUGGAAUCUGAAGUCCUUGAAUGGGUUGAUUCAUCUUGGUCCAUUUUAGAGUUUGGCAAUAUUACAUUAGGGAGAGUUAGGCCCGUGAUAUGACUGACAAAACCAAAAUUAUUUUUAGCAUAGAAGGGAUGUUCAAGCACC